UCAUCAGCGUCCUAUACAGAAUUUCUUCACUGCCCAGAUUUAUCCCUCAUGCCUCCAUAAAAGCCAACAGCAGUACACCUCCUCCCUCCUCUCCUCCAGGUUUUUUAUGGAAUAUGGUUUCUUGGUCAUUGGCCAGUAGGGGCUCAUAGGAGCACACUAAGUGGAGAUGCUAGCUUCAGGCCUCACAUCCAUAUCACUAUGCUUUGUGAAGAGGAGGAAAAGAAAACCACCUCCUCACUUAAGAAAAUAAAGUGAAAAUCCAUUUUUCAUUGUUCUGGACUCCAAUUCACUAAUACGAGGAAGGUGAGAGAACCCUUAAGUCAGUCCUUUUGAGGAGAGUGAGGAAUGGACAAGAAUGAGAAUAGGCAAUGGUAUGGUGCAAAGGAAAAGACUGUGAGGUCCAUCACAGGCCAGCCUCCUCCCCGUGAGCAGCCACGGAGAACUGGGCCGCCAGAUGUGAGAGCGGGGAGGGCCCAUGGCCCAGCGUGCGCAGGGAAAGCUCCUCCACUGACAUCUGCUUCCUUUGCCGGCCCCGAUCCGCAGUCAGGGUCCUGACUGAGAGAAAAUCAGCCGUGGCUGGGAAAAAGGAAAAUUGGUGAAAGAACUCAUCUUGAACAAAGCCCAGCCGGUAUCUUGCAAGAUUAAAUUUUAGACUUUAGAUGUUGCCUUGAAACAGGACACUUGGAUCCAAGGGAAACAAUCAGCAAAAG